GCUACAUGAUCAUGGGGAAGACUGCCAACUGAAUAGAUGUCCAGAGGACAGUCAUCGACACCCUUCAUGGGAAGGCCGGUCUUGGCACCUGCCCACACUGCCAAAGGUACUGAAAGCUGGUUUAAUGACCAUGAUGUUCCUGUUCUUCAUUGGCCAGCAUAGAAAAUCUAUUGGCUGUUGUCAAGACGAAGAUGAAAGACACCAGACCCAACAAGGCAUAUGACCUGAAGGCAGCUAUCAAAGCAACCUGGUCUUCCAUCACACCAGUAACAUUGCAGUCCACCAGAGCAGAGGAGGACAAGGGCGACCCGUAGCAUGUUUGGAUUAAAGCUGCUUCAACUGAGGUCACUAAGGUAUCUGGAAAGCGCCAUUGCUCUCCUGACUCUGCCAACCUUCCCCAGAAGAGGAAGCAUAUAAAGGCAGCCUGUCAUACCAACUUGUUGUGACCUCAGCUCCUGAGCCCUCCGGUUCUCUUCAGCCAUCCACUGCUUCUGAGCCCUCUUUGCUUCCAGCCUGCCCACAACGUGCUCCACCACCACUCCAGUGUAUUUUACUCUGUGAUGGGCUCUCCACCUCUCCUGAGCCCCCCCUGCUUCCAGGCUCACCACUACUGAAGGGCCCUUUCACCUCGAUAAAGUUGUCCACAGAUCCUGGGCCAUCCACCUCUUCAGAUCCUUUUCCGCUUUUGCUGCCAUGUCUUCUCUUGCUUUAACUAACCACAUGCAGCAAGUCCAGAACCCCUUAAUGAAGCCUUGCAUUGAAUCAAGAGUUGUAGAAUUUAUAAUUAACUACAUUUCUUCAGUGCUAGUUUUUAAUGAGAUGGGCAGCAAAUGCGUACUCUUAAGGUUACAUAAUGUUUUUAUUUUCUAUUUUAUUGAAGUUUUAUAUUUAUAUAACGUAUAUAAAAAAACUGAAAGAAAAUCCAACUCCAUCUGCCGUAAAUUGCCCAGCAGGGGGCGACAAAACAGGAAUCAUCUGAAUUGGGUACAGAGUCAGACUCAAGAACCUUUAGUAAUUAUUUCUAACUGGUGCAAAUGCUUAAGCUGGAUGUCACAAUAUGCUUUUGUGUCAGAUCCUGUUUACUCUUACUAAAGGGGUUUUGGUAUUGAUGUAUAAACAUGCCUCCAGAACGUUCCCAAAUUUCUGUGGCACCUGUUACAGAGAUGUUUUGGUCCAUGUUGAGAUGAUGGCACCAUGCAGUUGCUGUAAAUUUGUCAGCUUCACAUUCAUGAGGUGAAUCGUUCGACUAAAAUCCCAAAGGUGCCCUGCUGGAUUAAGUUUUGGUGACUGUUGAGGCCAAUGGAGUACAGUGAACUUCUUGUCAUGUCCAACAAUCCAGUUUGAGAUCAUCUGAGCUUUGUGUCAUGGUUCAUAUCCUGGUCUGUGGUCAGCAGAAUUACUCAGGUCGACUGGAGUGUUUUAACACUUUUUACUA